UACAAACAAAAAUGCACAAGCAUACACAUCAGUUAAAGAAAAAAUGUGCAGAGGAAGAUUGUAGAAUUAACGGAGAGUUUUAAACUUAACGUGACACCCCAACGAAUGUCACGUGCUAUAACCAUAUUAUUAUUCAUCCUUGAAUACCCUAAGCCCUGCCUUAUGUUAUAUGCCUACUUGAAUUAAGACUGCACAAGAAUUAAAAGUGAGAAACAUGCCUUGAGAAGACAAACCAAGGCAUAUACUUAAGAAUGAGUUUGAAAGUAUAUGUUAAUAUAGAGCUUCGAACAUAGAAAUCCUUAUGUCUUGUAUUGAGAGUUAGGGAAGGACUUCUAGGUUGAAUUUAGUAAAUUUUGAGUUUCCCUAUUCACUAAUCAAGGAGCUUAAAGAUCUUAGACUAAUAUGCAUGCCAUUUUGAUGCUAUAUUGUUCUUACUAAUUGGGAUUAGUGCUAAUUAAGUAGAAUUAGUAAACCGUAAUCGUAAUUAAGCUAAGCACGAUUAAUUAGAGAUUAACUGUAAUCGUAAUUAAGUUAAGCCUUGAUUAAUUAGAGAUUAACCUUGAUUAAUUAUAACUAAGAUGGAUUGACUAAGCUAAUUAAUCCUUUGUGAUGCAAACACACACCUCAACAUUUCCUACAAAACAAAAGAGAAGAAUAUAGAAAGAGAGAGAGAGAGAGCUCUAGAGUUUAUUUAGGCUAAUAAGGAUUAAAGAGUAAGCAUGAUUGGUUAGGACUAAAGCUUGGUUAAUUAAGCUAAUGGGACAAUUAGUAAAAUACUUAAGGUAAACUUGAUUGAGCUAAGCUAAACUAAGCAAAUAAAUUAGGAUUUGGUGAAGCAUACACAUAGGUGAAGCAAACAAACACCUUCCUUUUUGUAUUAUUUAACUUUUAGAAGAAGAAAAUCUGUGGAGUCAAAACAAAAGGAGAAGAAAGAAGAACAAAGGAGACGAAAGGAGAAGAAAAAAACAAGGGAAAAAGAGAGGAAAUAGAAGAAAAAUCAAAGGAGCUUCAAUUUGACGCCUAGAAAUUCAAGGAAAAUUAUUAAUAGGUCAAGCACUCUGAGAAGGGAAAACCUCAUUGUUCGCAAGCCAUUUGUGAUGAAGAGUUGGAUUAUGAAGAGAAGUUUGAAUAGAAACUGGUCUUGUAUGGUUGUGCUAGAUUUGUAAAGCCUUGUCAUAUGUGUUUAUUUUACCUUGUCGUUUAGACCAUGUAAUAAUGUAAGAUAACAAUCCAAGAGGAAUGAAUGCUUUCAUUUCAUGUAGUUAUGCACUGCUCUGAGUGGAUGCUUCGAAUGGACUCAAUAUAAGCAAAUAAUGGCUUCCGUACUAAAAAAUAUAAAAAAUUUGCCCCAAUUAUCCUAAGACUCCAACUUGUUUUGAAAGUUAGGCCCUUGAUAGUCUAUGACUACUGGCCGGUCACAACGCCAUCUUGUUUAGGAUGGGUUGGGAUAGUGACACUUAAACUUCUCCGUGCAUUAGAACAGAGAGAAAGAAUAGGAGAGAGAAUCAGGAAGAGAAGCAUGCAAGGGCCGCAAUCCUAAUCACACAAAGGCCGCAACCUUAAACAACGGUCAAUUUCAUUAAUUGAAGGCUGCCUAAUAUAAUACCAAAGCCUAUUAUAUAUAGGUUAACCUUAAUAAAAUAGAAAAAUUAAUAACAAUAAGAAAAUAAAUAUUAAAUACUAAAGACUUUAAUUUAUAAAAUUAUAAAUAUAAAUUAAGCCUCCACAUGGUGGAAAGAUACUGUGUGUGAGCCGAAUAGUGGAUCUCUACCUUGUGCAUCACUUAUUAUUAUUAACAUCUUUGUACACAUGUUUGAUUUGAUCAAAAGAUAUCACAACAUGCUCACUUAGGAUAAGAUUUAUAUGGCCUUUGCUCUAGCUGCUUCCUUUGAAUGGAAGCAACAGAUAAAAUCACAGAGAGAGAGAGAGAGAGAGAGAGUAAUAUA